GGCUUUCCUUUGUCCACAGGUGCUGUCAGGGAGGUGGUCUGGGUCCUAGCCUAAUUUUUGCCAUAAUUCUACAUCCAGUAUCUUCAGAGCACUGAAGGAGGUGCAGGAAGUGCAGAAAAUGCAGAAAACAAAGGAAAUGCAGUGGGGAGGGGCCUGGCUUCUGCACAUUGCAUUCACUGCUGUCUCCCCAAGGAAAGCUGUGAGAGCUGGACUGGAGAUUGGACGCAUCUGGAAGGAAAAGGAUUCUUCAGCACAAGGGGGAAUAACUCUCAAAACCGACAGGAAUGUAUGAUGGCUCUCUCCUUAAAGCCAGAAACAAAAGAAAGAUGACUGUUAUCAAUACUCUGUUCUUGAAAGUUCUCUAUCAAUCAGCUAAGAAAGUGAAAGAAGUGUGAUCGUGAAGAAGUAGGAAAAAGUACCAAGACUUGCUGACAGGAAAAAAUUAUGUGGCCAAAGGAGCUCCCCAUGUAAGGAGAAGCAGACCGUGAAGAGACACCACUGACAUCUGGGAACAAGGCUGCAGGAGAGGCCAAGUGUCCAGCACCCAGUGGAAGGGCCCAGGCUUCCUAACCCUGGUCUCCCUCAGCAGUGUGUGGGGGGGUCUGGCCUCCAUGCCCUCUUUAGCCUGGCUCCCCUACUGGCCCUUGCCCCUGAGGCCUAUUCACAAGACAUCUUAGGACCUGACCAGGACAGUUUUCCAGAGCUUUCCUAGUUCACCCACACAACAUCCUCCUGCCUGAGGACUUCUGGCCACCUGAGACUGUUUUUCUUUUUGAGACGGAGUCUUGCUCUGUUGCCCAAGCUGGAGUGCAGUGUUGUGAUCUCGGCUAACUGCAACCUCUGCCUGCUGGGCUCAAGCAAUUCUCAUGCCUCAGCCUCCCCAGUAGCUAGGAUUACAGGCGUGUGCCACCAUGCCUGGCUACUUUUUGUAUUUUUAGUAGAGAUGGGGUUUCACCAUGUUGGCCAGGCUGGUCUCGAACUCCUGACCUCAAAUGAUCCGCCUGCCUCGGCCUCCCAAAGUGCUGGGAUUAUAGGUGUGAGCCACCGUGCCCGGCCCACCUGAGACUGUUUAACCUUAUGCCAAGCUGAAGGUAUUCUGUCAUUUCCUACUUUUGAAAUGAGAAAGGAUUUGUCAUUUAACAGAAGAAUUAAAGAAUGUGCCACAUGCCAUAUAUUUUCUUCUCAUUGCAGAUUUAGUUUUGCCUCUUUAAAUAAUUACUCAUUGUAAUUUCCAAUGGAAUCCCCCA
rnacentral:lncRNA from 10 species